rnacentral:lncRNA from 1 species
CCAAAAUUAUGUAAUUCUUGAAGAUCCUUCCUGAGUGCAAGAUCAAGUUAGGACAGAGGAACAGCAAAUAACAAGAUGGGGUGAUGGACAUGACUGGAGGGCAGUUCGAAACCUAAAGAGGAUGAACGCAGAACGGGCAACAGAGUCCGUAUGUCGGGCGGGCGACUGCACCCGCCCUUUCCUACCCAGACGGAGUCUAGCUCUGUCACCAGGCUGGAGCACAGUGGCAUGAUCUCGACUCACUGCAACCUCCACUGAAGAAGGAAUUCAUGAAUUUUACAAGUAUAAUCAAAGACCACCAAGAAAUUUUUACUUUUUCCUUCAAAAGCUAAGUGUAGUGUAGCACCCCCUGCCCAUAGUCUAAGUUACAGAAGAAUACUAACUGCCUGUUUUUCUUUCUGUGUUGUGAGCCUUAUCUGUUCUCACCAGUUUCACAUUCCUUGAGGCUCAGUGAGUUCCUGCGCACCUCCCUAGCACAGCUGCAAAGUUACAAGGUUGAUAUGCAUAUGUUACAGAAACAUAGUUUCCCAAGGAUGUGGAACAUGUAGUAUAGAUAAAUGUAAAAGACUGAUCAACUGCCUUUGUUCUCGCUUGUGUAAG